UACGAAGGGGGCUAGCGUUGCUCGGAAUCACUGGGCGUAAAGGGUGCGUAGGCGGGUCUUAAGUCAGGGGUGAAAUCCUGGAGCUCAACUCCAGAACUGCCUUUGAUACUGAGAUCUUGAGUUCGGGAGAGGUGAGUGGAACUGCGAGUGUAGAGGUGAAAUUCGUAGAUAUUCGCAAGAACACCAGUGGCGAAGGCGGCUCACUGGCCCGAUACUGACGCUGAGGCACGAAAGCGUGGGGAGCAAACAGG
rnacentral:rRNA from 1 species